rnacentral:rRNA from 1 species
CCUGCCGGACCUGACUGCUAUCGGAUCGAUACUAAGCCAUGCGAGUCAUUGUAGCAAUACAAGGCAGACGGCUCAGUAACGCGUAGUCAACCUACCCUAUGGACGGGAAUAACCUCGGGAAACUGAGUAUAAUGCCCGAUAGAACAUUAUGCCUGGAAGGGUUUAUGUUCCAAAUGAUUUAUCGCCGUAGGAUGGGACUGCGGCCUAUCAGUUUGUUGGUGAGGUAAUGGCCCACCAAGACUAUUACAGGUACGGGCUCUGAGAGGAGUAGCCCGGAGAUGGGUACUGAGACACGGACCCAGGCCCUAUGGGGCGCAGCAGGCGAGAAAACUUUGCAAUGUGCGAAAGCACGACAAGGUUAAUCCGAGUGGUUUCUGCUAAAGGAACCUUUUGUUAGUCCUAAAAACACUAACGAAUAAGGGGUGGGCAAGUUCUGGUGUCAGCCGCCGCGGUAAAACCAGCACCUCAAGUGGUCAGGAUGAUUAUUGGGCCUAAAGCAUCCGUAGCCUGCUCUGUAAGUUUUCGGUUAAAUCUGUAUGCUCAACAUACAGGCCGCCGGGAAUACUGCAGAGCUAGGGAGUGGGAGAGGUAGACGGUACUCGGGAGGAAGUGGUAAAAUGCUUUGAUCUCUCGAUGACCACCUGUGGCGAAGGCGGUCUACCAGAACACGUCCGACGGUGAGGGAUGAAAGCUGGGGGAGCAAACCGGAUUAGAUACCCGGGUAGUCCCAGCCGUAAACUAUGCAAACUCAGUGAUGCAUUGGCUUGUGGCCAAUGCAGUGUUGCAGGGAAGCCGUUAAGUUUGCCGCCUGGGAAGUACGUACGCAAGUAUGAAACUUAAAGGAAUUGGCGGGGGAGCACCACAAGGGUGAAGCCUGCGGUUCAAUUG